CACGUAGGGGGCAAGCGUUGUCCGGAUUUAUUGGGCGUAAAGAGCGUGUAGGCGGCCCGGUAAGUCCGCUGUGAAAGUCGGGGGCUCAACCCUCGAAUGCCGGUGGAUACUGUCGGGCUAGAGUGCGGAAGAGGCGAGUGGAAUUCCUGGGUGAUGAGCGGUGAAAUGCGCAGAUAUCAGGAGGAACACCAAUUGCGAAGGCAGCUCGCUGGGACGUAACUGACGCUGGAGACGCGAAAGCGUGGGGAGCAAACAGG
rnacentral:rRNA from 1 species